AGUGAACGCUGGCGGUAGGCCUAACACAUGCAAGUCGAACGGCAGCACAGUAAGAGCUUGCUCUUACGGGUGGCGAGUGGCGGACGGGUGAGGAAUACAUCGGAAUCUACUUUUUCGUGGGGGAUAACGUAGGGAAACUUACGCUAAUACCGCAUACGACCUACGGGUGAAAGCAGGGGAUCUUCGGACCUUGCGCGAUUGAAUGAGCCGAUGUCGGAUUAGCUAGUUGGCGGGGUAAAGGCCCACCAAGGCGACGAUCCGUAGCUGGUCUGAGAGGAUGAUCAGCCACACUGGAACUGAGACACGGUCCAGACUCCUACGGGAGGCAGCAGUGGGGAAAAUUGGACAAAGGGCGCAAGCCUGAUCCAGCCAUACCGCGUGGGUGAAGAAGGCCUUCGGGUUGUAAAGCCCUUUUGUUGGGAAAGAAAAGCAGCAGGUUAAUACCCCGCUGUUCUGACGGUACCCAAAGAAUAAGCACCGGCUAACUUCGUG
rnacentral:rRNA from 1 species